AACGAACGCUGGCGGCAGGCUUAACACAUGCAAGUCGAGCGCCCCGCAAGGGGAGCGGCAGACGGGUGAGUAACGCGUGGGAAUCUACCCAUCUCUACGGAAUAACGCAUGGAAACGUUUGCUAAUACCGUAUACGUCCUUCGGGAGAAAGAUUUAUCGGAGAUGGAUGAGCCCGCGUGGGAUUAGCUAGUUGGUGGGGUAAAGGCCUACCAAGGCGACGAUCCAUAGCUGGUCUGAGAGGAUGAUCAGCCACACUGGGACUGAGACACGGCCCAGACUCCUACGGGAGGCAGCAGUGGGGAAUAUUGGACAAUGGGCGCAAGCCUGAUCCAGCCAUGCCGCGUGAGUGAUGAAGGCCCUAGGGUUGUAAAGCUCUUUCACAGGUGAAGAUAAUGACGGUAAUCGGAGAAGAAGCCCCGGCUAACUUCGUGCCAGCCGUCGCAGUAAGAC
rnacentral:rRNA from 1 species